CCAUAUCAGAGCACGGUGUACAUCUCUUGCAGUAUUCAGAAUAUUUCUCUACGGGCAGCAACAUUUUUCUCUCCUUAUCUGGAUAUUAGGAAGAAUAUCACAGGACCGGCUUACAGCGCCAGUCACAUCUGACCAUAUCAGAGCACAGUGUACUCCUCUUGCCGUAUUCAGAGGAUUUGCCUAUGGGCAGCAACAUUAUUCUCUCGUUCUCUGGAUAUUAGGAACAAUAUCACAGGACCGGCGGACAGCCCCAGUCAUAUCUGAAAAUAUCACAGCACGGUGUACUCCUCUUGCCGUAUUCAGAGGAUUUGCCUAUGGGCAGAAACAUUCCCCUCUCCAUCUCUGGAUAUUAGAAACAUUAUCACAGGACCGGCAAACAGCUGCAGUCAUAUCGUGAGUAAUGUCAUCUGUAAUCCCCUAGUUAUAAAAAACAACAUCAAGGGGGUCUUGUGCACUUUAUGAGAUACUUAGAGUAAUGUUAGGAUUUGGGUAAUUUACAUGAGGGAGAAUAUUGUGUUGGUGUAUACACUCCAAAACACAGUAGAAAAGGGCAUUGUAUAUUUUUUCUGACAGAUUAUAUUGAGAGCAAUUUUGCUUUUAACAUUGGGGUACCUAGAUCAUAUUUAGAUUCUUUUCGAUUCGUGUAAAAUUAGAAUUUCUGUAUUUUACAUGAGAGAGCAUAUGGAGUUGGUGUAUAUACUCCAAAACAGAGUAGA